UUGAACGCUGGCGGCAGGCCUAACACAUGCANGUCGAGCGGNAACAUUUCUAGCUUGCNAGAAGAUGACGAGCGGCGGACGGGUGAGUAAUGCUUGGGAACAUGCCUUGAGGUGGGGGACAACAGUUGGAAACGACUGCUAAUACCGCAUAAUGUCUACGGACCAAAGGGGGCUUCGGCUCUCGCCUUUAGAUUGGCCCAAGUGGGAUUAGCUAGUUGGUGAGGUAAUGGCUCACCAAGGCGACGAUCCCUAGCUGGUUUGAGAGGAUGAUCAGCCACACUGGGACUGAGACACGGCCCAGACUCCUACGGGAGGCAGCAGUGGGGAAUAUUGCACAAUGGGCGCAAGCCUGAUGCAGCCAUGCCGCGUGUGUGAAGAAGGCCUUCGGGUUGUAAAGCACUUUCAGUCAGGAGGAAAGGUUAGUAGUUAAUACCUGCUAGCUGUGACGUUACUGACAGAAGAAGCACCGGCUAACUCCGUGCC
rnacentral:rRNA from 1 species